CCUACGGGUGGCUGCAGUGGGGAAUUUUGGACAAUGGGCGCAAGCCUGAUCUAGCAAUGCCGCGUGCAGGAUGAAGGCCUUCGGGUUGUAAACUGCUUUUGUACGGAGCGAAAAGGCUUCCACUAAUACUGGGGGCUCAUGACGGUACCGUAAGAAUAAGCACCGGCUAACUACGUGCCAGCAGCCGCGGUAAUACGUAGGGUGCAAGCGUUAAUCGGAGUUACUGGGCGUGAACCUUGCACAGACGGUCGAAAUCCCCGGGCUUAACCUGGGAACUGCACUUGUGACUGCAAGGCUGGAGUACGGCAGAGGGGGAUGGAAUUCCGCGUGUAGCAGUGAAAUGCGUAGAUAUGCGGAGGAACACCGAUGGCGAAGGCAAUCCCCUGGGCCUGUACUGACGCUCAUGCACGAAAGCGUGGGGAGCAAACAGGAUUAGAUACCCCGGUAGUC
rnacentral:rRNA from 1 species